UGGGGAAUAUUGCACAAUGGGCGCAAGCCUGAUGCAGCCAUGCCGCGUGUGUGAAGAAGGCCUUCGGGUUGUAAAGCACUUUCAGCGAGGAGGAGGGUGGUGAGCUUAAUACGCUCAUCAAUUGACGUUACUCGCAGAAGAAGCACCGGCUAACUCCGUGCCAGCAGCCGCGGUAAUACGGAGGGUGCAAGCGUUAAUCGGAAUUACUGGGCGUAAAGCGCACGCAGGCGGUUUGUUAAGUCAGAUGUGAAAUCCCCGGGCUCAACCUGGGAACUGCAUUUGAAACUGGCAAGCUAGAGUCUCGUAGAGGGGGGUAGAAUUCCAGGUGUAGCGGUGAAAUGCGUAGAGAUCUGGAGGAAUACCGGUGGCGAAGGCGGCCCCCCUGGACGAAGACUGACGCUCAGGUGCGAAAGCGUGGGGCAGCAAACAGGAUUAGAUACCCUGGUAGUCCACGCUGUAAACGAUGUCGAUUUGGAGGUUGUGCCCCUUGAGGCGUGGCUUCCGGAGCUAACGCGUUAAAUCGACCGCCUGGGGAGUACGGCCGCAAGGUUAAAACUUAAAUGAAUUG
rnacentral:rRNA from 1 species